AACGCGAAGAACCUUACCUGGGCUCGAACGGCUAGUGACAGGCGGUGAAAAUCGCUUUUCCCGCAAGGGACACUAGUCGAGGUGCUGCAUGGCUGUCGUCAGCUCGUGUCGUGAGAUGUUGGGUUAAGUCCCGCAACGAGCGCAACCCUUGUCCUGUGUUGCCAUACCGAAAGGUGGAACUCGCAGGAGACCGCCAGGGAUAACCUGGAGGAAGGUGGGGAUGACGUCAAGUCCUCAUGGCCUUUAUGUCCAGGGCUACACACGUGCUACAAUGGACGGUACAAAGGGCUGCCAACCCGCGAGGGGGAGCCAAUCCCAAAAAACCGUUCUCAGUUCGGAUUGCAGGCUGCAACUCGCCUGCAUGAAGCUGGAAUCGCUAGUAAUGGCGGAUCAGAACGCCGCCGUGAAUACGUUCCCGGGCCUUGUACACACCGCGCAUA
rnacentral:rRNA from 1 species